UACCAUGUGACCAUACCAAACUGUUGCCUCGGCGGGGUCAMGCCCCGGGUGCGUCGCAGCCCCGGAACCAGGCGCCCGCCGGARGGACCAACCAAACUCUUUUCUGUAGUCCCCUCGCGGACGUUAUUUCUUACAGCUCUGAGCAAAAAUUCAAAAUGAAUCAAAACUUUCAACAACGGAUCUCUUGKUUCUGGCAUCGAUGAAGAACGCAGCGAAAUGCGAUAAGUAAUGUGAAUUGCARAAUUCAGUGAAUCAUCGAAUCUUUGAACGCACAUUGCGCCCGCCAGUAUUCUGGSGGGCAUGCCUGUCCGAGCGUCAUUUCAACCCUCGAACCCCUCCGGGGGGUCGGCGUUGGGGAUCGGGAACCCCUAARACGGGAUCCCGGCCCCRAAAUACAGUGGCGGUCUCGCCGCANCCUCUCCUGCGCAGUAGUUUGCACAACUCGCACCGGGAGCGCGGCG
rnacentral:rRNA from 1 species